UAGACGAAGGCGUGAUGCGGAGCGAAAUGAAGUAGUGAAGCUGCGGCCCCUUCCUGUCGAGAAAAGCCGCUAUCGUGUAGCAAGGGCCCGUACCGUAAACCGACACAGGUGGACGAGGAGAGGAUCCUAAGGCCGGCGGGAGAAGUGUUGUUAAGGAACUCGGCAAAAUGACUCCGUAACUUCGGGAGAAGGAGUGCUGCGCAAGCAGCCGCAGAGAAAUGGCCCAAGCAACUGUUUAGCAAAAACACAGGUCUAUGCGAAACCGAAAGGUGAGGUAUAUGGGCUGACGCCUGCCCGGUGCUGGAAGGUUAAGGGGAGAGCUUAGCGCAAGCGAAGGUUUGAACUUAAGCCCCAGUAAACGGCGGCCGUAACGAUAACGGUCCUAAGGUAGCGAAAUUCCUUGUCGGGUAAGUUCCGACCCGCACGAAAGGCGUAAUGAUUUGGGCACUGUCUCAACAACACACCCGGUGAAAUUGAAAUACCAGUGAAGAUGCUGGUUACCCGCGCCAGGACGGAAAGACCCCAUGGAGCUUUACUCCAGCCUGAUACUGGGACUCGGUAUUGCAUGUACAGGAUAGGUGGGAGGCUAAGAACUUAUGGCGCCAGCCGUGAGGGAGCCGAUGUUGGGAUACCACCCCUGCAGUACUGGGUUUCUAACCUGCGCCCGUGACCCGGGCGGGGGACAAUGUCAGGCGGGGAGUUUGACUGGGGCGGUCGCCUCCGAAAGGGUAUCGGAGGCGCUCAAAGGUCUCCUCAGGAUGGUUGGAAACCAUCCAGAGAGUGCAAGGGCAGAAGGAGGCUUGACUGCGACACCGACGGGUGGAGCAGGUACGAAAGUAGGACUUAGUGAUCCGGUGGCAUAAAGUGGGAUUGCCAUCGCUCAACGGAUAAAAGCUACCCUGGGGAUAACAGGCUUAUCACUCCCAAGAGUUCACAUCGACGGAGUGGUUUGGCACCUCGAUGUCGGCUCAUCGCAUCCUGGAGCUGGAGCAGGUUCCAAGGGUUGGGCUGUUCGCCCAUUAAAGCGGUACGCGAGCUGGGUUCAGAACGUCGUGAGACAGUUCGGUCCCUAUCCGGCGCGGGCGCAGGAUAUCUGAGAGGAGCUGUCCUUAGUACGAGAGGACCGGGAUGGACCGUCCGCUGGUGGACCGGUUGUCAUGCCAAUGGCACGGCCGGGUAGCCAAGACGGGAAGGGAUAAACGCUGAAGGCAUCUAAGCGUGAAGCCCCCCUCAAGAUGAGAUAUCCAUACUCGAAAGAGUGAGAGACCCCUUAGAGACGAUGAGGUAGAUAGGGCAGAGAUGGAAGCACAGCGAUGUGUGGAGUUGACUGUUACUAAUCGGUCGAUAGCUC
rnacentral:rRNA from 1 species